AGAUACCAGCCAUAUAAUGCAGGAAAGAGAAGACCAAACUGAAACCAGUCAGGUGGAAGAAUGCAGUGAUGAAACAGAUACCAGCAGUAUAACCCAGGAGAAGGAAGAUCAAGCUUUCGCCAGUCAUGUGGAAGAAUACAAUGAAAAGACAGCUAUUGCCACAGCUAGAAAUGCAUCAGAGAUGGAAAAAAGGAGUGAUGAUAUCAAUGCUGCAGAAAAGAAGACAGGUCCAACAGGUGAGGCCA